CAGCAGCCGCGGUAAUACGAAGGGGGCUAGCGUUGUUCGGAUUUACUGGGCGUAAAGGGCGCGUAGGCGGACUGAUAAGUCAGGGGUGAAAUCCCAAGGCUCAACCUUGGAACUGCCUUUGAUACUGUUUGUCUUGAGUUCGAAAGAGGUAAGUGGAACUGCGAGUGUAGAGGUGAAAUUCGUAGAUAUUCGCAAGAACACCAGUGGCGAAGGCGGCUUACUGGCUCGAAACUGACGCUGAGGCGCGAAAGCGUGGGGAGCAAACAGGAUUAGAUACCCCUGUAGUCCCUGUCUCUUAUAA
rnacentral:rRNA from 1 species